GUGUCCAUUGCGCACUGAGGUCCCCGGCGAGGACCGGCAGUCCUGCCGGGAUAUCCUUUAAAUGCAGGACAGCGGUGCCUUGACGUCCUUCUGCUCCAGUGUGGCGAGAAGACUUGCUGUCCUGCACGUUGCCAGCCAGGAUGAGGGCCCAGGUGGUGUUGGUGGUGGUGGUAAUGGCGGUAGUGGCGACGGCGGUAGCUUUCCCACAGGGGGAAGUCUGUAGGAAUGCUAUGCUUUGGGAUAACGAGUGUGGCACGUGUUUUUGUCUUGAUGGAAGGCCUAAGUGCUUCCCGGAACGCUGCAACAGCUCAGGCUUGCCAGUCAGGACUGCCAGGGCCAUCCUGCACCGCCGCUGACUCCCUUGACCACCGUGGAAUGUGUGCGGGACGGGGCUCACGGAAAGGCCAGGUUGGGGACGUGCUCGUGGUCUUCUCUCUGUACGCCAGACUUGCCCUCGCCGUCUCGUACACUGUCCCUGCCGCCGCUCGUCUGUAGGCUUGUCUGUAACCAGUACUGAUGAAGGGAGAGAGUCACAGAUAAUGUGUCUCGUGUUAAUAGUUCCGUCCAAUAAAACGUUCACUGGA